rnacentral:rRNA from 1 species
AAACCAGCUCUCCGAGUGGUAGGGGUGAUUAUUGGGCUUAAAGCGUCCGUAGCCGGCCUGGCAAGUCUUCCGUUAAAUCCAGCAACCUAAUUGUUGGGCUGCGGGGGAUACCGUUAGGCUUGGGGGCGGGAGAGGCCGACGGUAUUCUCGGGGUAGGGGUGAAAUCUUAUAAUCCCGAGAGGACCACCAGUGGCGAAGGCUGUCGGCUAGCACGCGCCUGACGGUGAGGGACGAAAGCUGGGGGAGCGAACCGGAUUAGAUACCCGUGUAGUCC